CCUACGGGUGGCAGCAGUGGGGAAUAUUGCACAAUGGGGGAAACCCUGAUGCAGCGACGCCGCGUGAGUGAAGAAGUAUUUCGGUAUGUAAAGCUCUAUCAGCAGGGAAGAAAAUGACGGUACCUGAUUAAGAAGCCCCGGCUAACUACGUGCCAGCAGCCGCGGUAAUACGUAGGGGGCAAGCGUUAUCCGGAUUUACUGGGUGUAAAGGGAGCGUAGACGGCAGCACAAGUCUGGAGUGAAAUGCCGGGGCUUAACCCCGGAACUGCUUUGGAAACUGUGCAGCUAGAGUGCAGGAGAGGUAAGAGGAAGUCCAGGUGUAGCGGUGAAAUGCGUAGAGAUUAGGAGGAAGACCAGUGGAGAAGGCGGGUUACGGGACUGUAAAGGACGUUGAGGCUCGAAAGCGUGGGGAGCAAACAGGAGGAGAGACCCCAGUAGUG
rnacentral:rRNA from 1 species